CCAAUAGCGUAUAUUAAAGUUGUUGCAGUUAAAAAGCUCGUAGUUGAACUUCAGGCCUGGCUGGACGGUCCGCCUUCCGGGUGAGUACUGUCUGUGGUCGGGUCCUACCUUCUGGCGAAGCGUCAUGGCCUUAACCGGCCGUGGCGGGGAACCAGGACUUUUACUGUGAAAAAAUUAGAGUGUUCAAAGCAGGCAAUUCGCUUGGAUACAUUAGCAUGGAAUAAUGGAAUAGGACAAUUGUUCUAUUUGUUGGUUUCUAGGACUGUUGUAAUGAUUAAUAGGGAUAGUUGGGGGCAUUAGUAUUCAAUUGUCAGAGGUGAAAUUCUUGGAUUUAUUGAAGACUAACUACUGCGAAAGCAUUUGCCAAGGAUGUUUUCAUUAAUCAAGAACGAAAGUUAGGGGAUCGAAGACGAUCAGAUACCGUCGUAGUCUUAACCAUAAACUAUGCCGACUAGGAAUCGGGCGAUGUUGACAAAAUGACGCGCUCGGCACCUCAUG
rnacentral:rRNA from 2 species